CUGCCUGACCCGCGGCGCCAGUGUCCUGCUCUGCUCUGGAAGGUCGGGGGCGGGCAGGGGGUGUAGGAACGCCCCCGGAUUGGCUGCGCCGCGCGCAUUCUCCCCGCCGCCGCCACUCAGCGACGCCUGGGCGGAACCUGGAGGCGCGCCGGCUGCCUGGCGGAGGGGGUUGGCGGGCUAGCAGGCGGGGGACCUGAAGUUUGCCCCGAAGUCCGGUUACGACCCUUUGCAGGGUCGGGCUUGGCGGUGACUGUCCCUGAAACUGGGAUGCUGGCAACACAACCUUGCGCUCUGAUUGGCUGUUGGUUUCCCUUGUGUCAUUCGUUUGUCAUUAUCACUCGUUUGUCAGUUGACAAACACAAACGCAUGGUUAUGAAGUGCAUAAACCGUGUUAGGAUCUGUACUGAGUGUGGGAAACUGGUGAACAGGCCCGUGAGAUGGGUCGGCCUUAGCACCUGUGCCCUGAGCUGGGAGAAUGGGGUCAACGCCCUAUUCCUGCAUGCUUCGGUGUAGUAGUGAAAAGACGGGGUUCCUUAUCUAAACUGGGAUUCGCAGCACCCUUUCCUCCACGCAGAGACAGCAGGAUGCUGGGAAGCCGUGGAAUGCAGAAUCUGUUAAUAGCUGUGCGGGGCAGAUAGGAAAUCUGGGCUGAAUUCAGCCUCUCCUCACCACUAUAUGUUGAAGUCCUAACCCCCAGUGCCUCAGAAUAAGACUGUAUUUGGAGAAAGGGCCUUUAAAGAGGUAAUUAAGCUAAAAUGGAGUCCUGUGGAUGGGCUCUUACCAAUAUGACUGGUGUCUGAAGAGGAGAUAAGGACACAGAGAGGAAAGAGGAUGUGAGGACACAGUCAGAAGGCAGCCAUCUACAAGUCAGGAGAGAGGUCUCAGAAGAAAUCAACCCUGCUGACACCUUGAGUUUUGACUUCUAGUCUCCAGAACGGUGAGGAUAUAAAUAUAAAUUUCUGUUGUUUAAAACAUCCAGUCUGUAGUACUUUGUUAUGGCUGCCCUAGCAAACGAAUACAGGAAGGGAUAUUGUUCAUAAUAUUAUGGAUACACUUUUAUUUUAUUAUUAUUAUUUUUUGCGAUGGAAUCUCGCUCUUUCGCCCAUGCUGGAAUGCAGUGGUGUGAUCUCGGCUCACUGCAACCUCCGCCUCCCAGGUUCAUGCGAUUCUCCUGUCUCAGCCUCCCAGUAGCUGGGAUUACAGGCCCGCACCACCACGCCCGGCAAAUUUUGUAUUUGUAGUAGAGACAGGGUUUCACCCUGUUGGCCAGGCUGGUCUAGGACUUCUGACCUCAGGUAAUCUGCCUGCUUCAGUCUCCCAAAGUGCUGGGAUUACAGACGAGAGCCACCAUGCCCAGCUGGAUGCACUAUUUUAAACAUGAAACCACACAGCUCAUUCAGUGCUCCUUAAGGAUGAAUUUCCCCAAAUUACAUUCAGGGCGAUUUUGCCACAUAAAGGAAUACUUUCUGCUUCAUCUCUCUUAUUUUAUAUAGGUAAAAAAAUAAUAGCAGAAGCAGUAAAGGAAGAGAAUACUAAGAGAUCUUUUGGGUGGGCAGAAGUGGUAAGAAAGAUAGAGGAUUAUGGGAAAAAAUCAUUUUUAUUGAGACCCUAAAGAUAAUUUUAAACCACCCACUUUCCUACCUAUAUCCUUGUUCGACAUGGAUUUUGGCCGGAAUUGUUGGUCACAGUAUAUCCAAAAUAGCUGAGUACUUAUUUUGUUAUAAAGAGUGGUAUUAAAUUACUCUAUUUGUAAAACUACAAUUGUUCAGUUGGUUUGUAAUUCUCUGGGAGGUAAAUGCCACCACACACGACACCCAUCCAGAAUCAAUGAGCAUGAACAGAGAGAGUGCAUGGCUUAAGAAGGGUUUGCAAAAUGCUAAUGAAAAGAGAAAGUAGAAAUGUUAUUAGCACUAUUUAGUUGCACAACUCCACUGGCCAUUUAAAAAUUAACACCUUUGUUCCCUUUAAGUUCUUAUGAUUUGCUUCAUAUAUAUUCCGUUGAGUGUCUUCUAUAUAUGUGUUUAUGUACUCUCUGAGCCUCCAUGUUCCUGAACUGAAAUUGGGAUGAUAAAUAUACCUAUACCAAGCAUAGGGAUUAAAUAAAAUAAUUAAAUAAUAAUAAUUAAAUAAUAGCACAAUGUCUAGCAACUAGUACUCAAUACAUAAAAGCUGUAAUUAUAAUAGUUAUCACUGGGUUCUUGAUAAUAGUUUAAACUUAAUAGGUUGUCACUAUUGCUGCCUCUUAUUCACACCUUGCAGAUUUACCAGCUUUUUCCAAUAUUAGAAUGUGAGACUUGCCAGGAUAUUGUUUCCUAUAUUUAGCCUUUAUGUCUUGUAUAAUGAAUAAAUAAACGUGCCUAUCUUCAGUAUUA